rnacentral:rRNA from 1 species
GACGAACGCUGGCGGCGUGCCUAAUACAUGCAAGUUGAGCGAUGAAGAUUGGUGCUUGCACCAAUUUGAAGAGCAGCGAACGGGUGAGUAACGCGUGGGGAAUCUGCCUUUGAGCGGGGGACAACAUUCGGAAACGAAUGCUAAUACCGCAUAACAACUUUAAACAUAAGUUUUAAGUUUGAAAGAUGCAAUUGCAUCACUCAAAGAUGAUCCCGCGUUGUAUUAGCUAGUUGGUGAGGUAAAGGCUCACCAAGGCGAUGAUACAUAGCCGACCUGAGAGGGUGAUCGGCCACAUUGGGACUGAGACACGGCCCAAACUCCUACGGGAGGCAGCAGUAGGGAAUCUUCGGCAAUGGACGAAAGUCUGACCGAGCAACGCCGCGUGAGUGAAGAAGGUUUUCGGAUCGUAAAACUCUGUUGGUAGAGAAGAACGUUGGUGAGAGUGGAAAGCUCAUCAAGUGACGGUAACUACACAGAAAGGGACGGCUAACUACGUG